UACGGAGGAUCCAAGCGUUAUCCGGAAUCAUUGGGUUUAAAGGGUCCGUAGGCGGUUUAAUAAGUCAGUGGUGAAAUCUGGUCGCUCAACGAUCAAACGGCCAUUGAUACUGUUAGACUUGAAUUACUGGGAAGUAACUAGAAUAUGUAGUGUAGCGGUGAAGUGCUUAGAUAUUACAUGGAAUACCAAUUGCGAAGGCAGGUUACUACCAGUGGAUUGACGCUGAUGGACGAAAGCGUGGGGAGCGAACAGG
rnacentral:rRNA from 1 species